rnacentral:rRNA from 1 species
AAUAGAUACCCCGGUAGUCCACGCCGUAAACGAUGGAUGCUAGCUGUUAUGCGUAUCGACCCGUGUAGUAGCGAAGCUAACGCGUUAAGCAUCCCGCCUGGGGAGUACGAACGCAAGUUUAAAACUCAAAGGAAUUGACGGGGACCCGCACAAGCGGUGGAGCGUGUUCUUUAAUUCGAGGCUAAGCGAAGAACCUUACCAGGACUUGACAUCCUUGGAAUUUCUCCGAAAGGAGAGAGUACUUUAUUGGACCAAGUGACAGGUGCUGCAUGGCCGUCGUCAGCUCGUGUCGUGAGAUGUUUGGUUAAGUCCAUUAACGAGCGCAACCCUUAUGAAUAGUUGUAUUUUUCUAUUCAGACUGCCCCGGUAACGGGGAGGAAGGGGGGGAUGAUGUCAGGUCAGUACUGCCCUUACGCCCUGGGCUAGAAACGCGCUACAAUGGCCGGUACAAUGCGCUGCCAACCCGCGAGGGGGAGCAAAUCGCAUCAAAGCCGGUCCCAGUUCGGAUUGGAGGCUGCAACUCGCCUCCAUGAAGAUGGAGUUGCUAGU